rnacentral:pre_miRNA from 1 species
AUUGGUCUGUGUGUGGAUGGUGUUCAGCACCAAGGACAGGUAUAUUGGUCUGUGUGUGGAUGGUGUUCAGCACCAAGGACAGGUAUAUUGGUCU